UACGUAGGUGGCGAGCGUUGUCCGGAUUUACUGGGCGUAAAGAGCGCGCAGGCGGUCGUUCAAGUCGCGUGUGAAAGCCCCCGGCUCAACCGGGGAGGGUCACGCGAUACUGAUCGACUCGAAGGCAGGAGAGGGAAGUGGAAUUCCCGGUGUAGUGGUGAAAUGCGUAGGUAUCGGGAGGAACACCAGUGGCGAAGGCGACUUCCUGGCCUGUUCUUGACGCUGAGGCGCGAAAGCUAGGGGAGCAAACGGG
rnacentral:rRNA from 1 species